rnacentral:lncRNA from 1 species
UGUUCUUCGCCAGUUUCACUUUGAUAUCAAAAUUUUGGGAAAGCUGAAGGAAAUGUCGAGAAGAAUUGGGGGUCCGAGAAGAAUUGAUAAAUGUCAAAGAAUCACGGGCAUUGGUUUGAAGAAGCUGCGGCGCGAUUACGGGAUUCGGUUUGAGUACUGUGCUUGAUAAGGGUUCGGGUUCCUGCCUUGGGUCAUUGAAAGGGGUCACUCAGGGUGUUGUCACAUAAAGUUGUAAGGUAUUAUAAAUAAGCAGCUUAGACACAUUUGAAAGCUUAAUUAAGAUUGUUGACAAUAGGAGAUGCAUAUUAUGAAGAGCAAGUAGGAGCAAUGAUUGACCAAAUGCUUCAACAGGUCCAUGUGCUUUGAGAAGGGCAUGAUUGGGACAAAUUAAAGAACAUGCUAUCCUUUCAGCUGAAGCAG